rnacentral:rRNA from 1 species
AAACCAGCACCUCAAGUGGUCAGGAUGAUUAUUGGGCCUAAAGCAUCCGUAGCCGGCUCUGUAAGUUUUCGGUUAAAUCUGUACGCUCAACGUACAGGCUGCCGGGAAUACUGCAAAGCUAGGGAGUGGGAGAGGUAGACGGUACUCGGGAGGAAGUGGUAAAAUGCUUUGAUCUCUCGAUGACCACCUGUGGCGAAGGCGGUCUACCAGAACACGUCCGACGGUGAGGGAUGAAAGCUGGGGGAGCAAACCGGAUUAGAUACCCCAGUAGUCC